CGGAGUGUGGCGUAGUCCGGUAACGCACCUCGUUCGGGACGAGGGGAUCAGAGGUUCAAAUCCUCUCACUCCGACCA
rnacentral:tRNA from 1 species